AGUAAAUAUAGUGAAACUAAAUGAAUGACAUUAAUAAGUGUAUCUUCAUCCAUAUGCUGAAUAACUUUGGUUUCAAGCGGAGAUCAGACCAGCCUUACAAUCUGUGUUUGCAUCUCAUGAGAGAGUUGAGUGUAGCUUUUAUAUUUGAUCAUUUCUGCUGACAACUUUCUCUCUCCAUCAUCAUAUUUUAAGCAGAUUUUGUGUGGUCUCAAUGCACAGAAUGAUUUGUGCAGGUUUUUCAUUUCAGCCACGUGAAAUGUAUCUAUCGUGAAGCUGUCAUGAAGUGACUCUAAAUCUAAUGUUUAUCAGAUGUGCAUACAUUCAUUUGAUUUAUGGGGAUGCAUUUAUAUCUGCUGUACGUGCGUUGAGCUCAACCACUGUCCAGUUCCUGAAAAUAUGACUCUUAAAAGUCAGAAACAAAUCAAAAACAAUAGCAGUUACAGAAUCCAAUUUGGUGUAAUUGCCUCUAAUUUUCACACGUGUCUCAUCGAUGUCUGAUUACAGCAAUCAGCCCUCAGUUAUGGAUUAUUUUAAAUGACUGUUUGAUCAAAACACCUAAAGCUGGACGAUUGAGAGUGAUUGUAAGUGUUUGAGCAUCUGCUAAAUGAGCUCCAUUGACUCCUCCAGCCGCUCGUGAGAGUUUACAUGGGAACAAACAGACUCGAUGGAAGUGAAGAAGGACAAGCGGCAUCGGUUUCAAAAGCCCUUCACAUGCACUCAGUGUGGAAGCGGUUUCGUGCAGAAAUCAAAACUCAAGACAUGAGAGUUCACAGCUCUUGCUUCCCCUCCGUCUUACUGAGAGCGAGGUCAGCUUGACUCGGAGGAGGAGGUUGUUGUGGUUUUUACACCCUUUGAGCAGAAACAGCAAGCUCUGCAAAUCUCCAAAGAUCACUGCGCCCAGAAUACUCUUCUGCUCUAAGAAGAGACGGCUUGAUACCAACAACAUUAAAGACAAUCGAACACGUCCGUGCAUAUGGAAAAACAUAGGGUUUCCAACAUAAAUGGAAUAUGAGUACAACUGGAAUUAUGAAUUGAAAUUCAUAAUACUUGAGUAACUGAGAGUAAUACAUUAAUAUGGAUGUAAUGUAAUAAAACCAUAAAAGAAUAUGUCAUAAUGAAUAUACUGUAUGAAUGAAUAUAAAAAAUAAGAAAACAUAACCACGUUGUAAAUGGGCCUACACCACAGAUGCAACAACUUUAUUAAAGACAAUCCACCUCAUGAACAGUUAAAUGUUCCCCGAAUUAUGCAAUAAUAAUCUUAUAUUUAUGUGUUGGCACCUCCAUCCGAGCGCAUGCCUGCAGCUCAGUCUGUUCCAUUCUAUCAUCUGUAGCACAACUGUUACUUACUUUUCAAUUUUUGUCUAUUUAUAUUGACAUGUGUGUUUUAUUCUCAUCUUAUUUGUAUUGUCUGUGUCGUUGUUGUCUCUGUGAACUAAAACUAAUUAUUUGUGGAAAGAGUUUUGCACAUCUUCACAGGUUCCCCAUAUUCAUACUGGUGUGAGACCUCAUGCGUGCUGGGACUGGACAGUCCUUCACACUGGACUCACACCUUACUGUGAUUCAUCCGCCUGAAAGCUCACGAGAGAAGUCACACUGAGGAACGUUUGCCAAAUCAUCUACAGCCUCGUAAGAAAAGCAUUGCAUCUAAGUGAGCAAUGGAUACAUGUACUUCAGAUCAAAUCAAUUUAGUAACACUUCAUUCUUUUACCUAAAAAUUAUGUUUUUUUUUUUUCUAUUAAUAUUCAUUGAGUCGAUUCUUCUCAUAAUAUACACUAAUACUGUGUUGUGUGCAGUUCAGCAGUAAAACACAGCGUCUGGUUAAAAUAUGCACAAGACUCUGUAUGGUUAUACCUUAUAUUUUGACAAACAGUUUGGUAAAAAUGUAAUAAAGAUUAAAUUCAUUAUCA